GCCGACGUAGCUCAGCUGGUAGAGCAACGCAUUCGUAAUGCGUGGGUCGCAGGUUCAAGUCCCGUCGUCGGCU
rnacentral:tRNA from 1 species